AUUGAACGCUGGCGGCAGGCCUAACACAUGCAAGUCGAGCGUGCGGCGGAGGGGUGAGUAACGUCUGGGAAACAGCCUGAAGGAGGAGGAUAAAUACGAGAAACGGAAGGUAAUAACGCAUAUAAUCAGAUGUGCCCAGAUGGGAUUAGCUAGUAGUUGGGGUAACGGCUAACCUAGGCGACGAUCCCUAUCUGGUCUGAGUGGAUGACCAGCAAAAUUGCAACUGAGACACGUUCCAGACUCCUCCGGGAGGCAGCAGUGGCGAAUAUUGCACAAUGGGCGAAAUCCUGAGGCAGCCAUGCCGCGUGUGUGAAGAAGGCCUUCGGGUGGUAAAGCACUUUCAGCGGGGAGGCGUUACCCGAAGAAGAAGCACCGGCUAACUCCGUGCCAGCAGCCGCGGUAAUAC
rnacentral:rRNA from 1 species